rnacentral:rRNA from 1 species
UUGGAGGGCAAGUCUGGUGCCAGCAGCCGCGGUAAUUCCAGCUCCAAUAGCGUAUAUUAAAGUUGUUGCAGUUAAAAAGCUCGUAGUUGAAUUUCGGGGUCAGUAGGUUGGUCAUGCCACUGGUAUGUACUGGCCUCACUGAUUCCUCCUUCCUGAUGAGCCGUAAUGCCAUUAAUUUGGUGUUGCGAGGAAUCUGGACUGUUACUUUGAAAAAAUUAGAGUGUUUAAAGCAGGCUAACGCUUGAAUACAUUAGCAUGGAAUAAUGAAAUAGGACGUUCGAUCUUAUUUUGUUGGUUUCUAAGAUUGACGUAAUGAUUAAUAGGGAUAGUUGGGGGCAUUAGUAUUCAAUUGUCAGAGGUGAAAUUCUUGGAUUUAUUGAAGACUAACUACUGCGAAAGCAUUUGCCAAGGAUGUUUUCAUUAAUCAAGAACGAAAGUUAGGGGAUCGAAGACGAUCAGAUACCGUCGUAGUCUUAACCAUAAACUAUGCCGACUAGGGAUCGGAUGGUGUUAAUUUUUUAAUGACUCAUUCGGCGCCUUACGGGAAAC